rnacentral:misc_RNA from 1 species
GUCGCAAUCAAAGUCGCAUCAACUAUAGUUGUCGUCCGGAACUUAUUAGUGACAACGUUAAUGCCAUUGGAGAGAAAAUUAACGACCGAACAUAUUAAAUCGUUCGUCGUUUGAGGUGUGCAACACGGUCGGCCUGCUAGAUUGGCUCAUCUCCUUUACUUGCUUGCGACAUUGUUCAGGGGACGCUAGCAACGGUGAGCGAACACAGAAAGCGCUCCUUCGAUGUUCACGAUUGCAAUGCACAAGGGUAUCCUAACGUUCCUUGUCUUUGUUGGGCUGGUUUCUCUUCUGGACGCCUUUCCUGCGGCACUACAGAGAGACGCAAGAGCUGGAUUCAGAAGUCACGAUCCAGGUUACGGACAUAAUUUCGGUAAAAGGAAAGCGUGGUUAGAAACGAUGCGGAAUAGACUGUUAAACACAAGAGAGAGCGAAAGCCCCUUAAUGACCAACGAAGAAUUAGCAGAUUUACUCAACGAAUCUUCACAGAUCGCAGAUGUUUUUGUAGAUAGAAUAGUAGACACAAACCGUGACGGAGUAGUGACGCGACAAGAGUUGCGAUCGAAGCACCUGAUAAGUCAGCUGUGAAAAAAAAGCAACCGCCGGAAAUUAAUUGCGGAUCUGAACUAAAUUGCUUUAUUUUUAUACUCUCAUUGGACGACAGACGCUGCUGGAUAGAAAAGAACAUAUUCGGGGAACUGGGUUAAAAGCGUAGAACAUGAGCCGGAUGAACUUUGUUUGUUUUCACCAUUUAAUCUAUAUGAGGA